rnacentral:sRNA from 1 species
UGAAAUUGGUGCGCCGUUGUCACGGCCGAU